AUUGAACGCUGGCGGCAGGCCUAACACAUGCAAGUCGAACGGUAGCACAGAGAGCUUGCUCUCGGGUGACGAGUGGCGGACGGGUGAGUAAUGUCUGGGAAACUGCCCGAUGGAGGGGGAUAACUACUGGAAACGGUAGCUAAUACCGCAUAAUGUCGCAAGACCAAAGAGGGGGACCUUCGGGCCUCUUGCCAUCGGAUGUGCCCAGAUGGGAUUAGCUUGUAGGUGAGGUAACGGCUCACCUAGGCGACGAUCCCUAGCUGGUCUGAGAGGAUGACCAGCCACACUGGAACUGAGACACGGUCCAGACUCCUACGGGAGGCAGCAGUGGGGAAUAUUGCACAAUGGGCGCAAGCCUGAUGCAGCCAUGCCGCGUGUAUGAAGAAGGCCUUCGGGUUGUAAAGUACUUUCAGCGGGGAGGAAGGGAGUGAGGUUAAUAACCUUAUUCAUUGACGUUACCCGCAGAAGAAGCACCGGCUAACUCCGUGCCAGCAGCCGCGGUAAUACGGAGGGUGCAAGCGUUAAUCGGAAUUACUGGGCGUAAAGCGCACGCAGGCGGUCUGUCAAGUCGGAUGUGAAAUCCCCGGGCUCAACCUGGGAACUGCAUUCGAAACUGGCAGGCUGGAGUCUUGUAGAGGGGGGUAGAAUUCCAGGUGUAGCGGUGAAAUGCGUAGAGAUCUGGAGGAAUACCGGUGGCGAAGGCGGCCCCCUGGACAAAGACUGACGCUCAGGUGCGAAAGCGUGGGGAGCAAACAGGAUUAGAUACCCUGGUAGUCCACGCUGUAAACGAUGUCGACUUGGAGGUUGUUCCCUUGAGGAGUGGCUUCCGGAGCUAACGCGUUAAGUCGACCGCCUGGGGAGUACGGCCGCAAGGUUAAAACUCAAAUGAAUUGACGGGGGCCCGCACAAGCGGUGGAGCAUGUGGUUUAAUUCGAUGCAACGCGAAGAACCUUACCUACUCUUGACAUCCACGGAAUUUGGCAGAGAUGCCUUAGUGCCUUCGGGAACCGUGAGACAGGUGCUGCAUGGCUGUCGUCAGCUCGUGUUGUGAAAUGUUGGGUUAAGUCCCGCAACGAGCGCAACCCUUAUCCUUUGUUGCCAGCGAUUCGGUCGGGAACUCAAAGGAGACUGCCAGUGAUAAACUGGAGGAAGGUGGGGAUGACGUCAAGUCGUCAUGGCCCUUACGAGUAGGGCUACACACGUGCUACAAUGGCAUAUACAAAGAGAAGCGACCUCGCGAGAGCAAGCGGACCUCAUAAAGUAUGUCGUAGUCCGGAUUGGAGUCUGCAACUCGACUCCAUGAAGUCGGAAUCGCUAGUAAUCGUGGAUCAGAAUGCCACGGUGAAUACGUUCCCGGGCCU
rnacentral:rRNA from 1 species